CUUGAGAAAAAAUUCAAGAUUAGGCCUGCCCACUGAAUUUUGAAGGGCCGCAGUAUUUUGACUGUGCAAAGGUAGCAUAAUCAUUAGUUUUUUAAUUGAGAACUGGAAUGAAUGGUUUGACGAGAUAAUAACUGUCUUCUUUUUAAAUUUAUUGAAUUUUAUUUUUAAGUUAAAAAGCUUAAAUGUGAUUUGGGGACGAGAAGACCCUAUAGAUCUUAAUAUUAAAAUGAAUGAUUUAAUAAUUUAAAAUUAAUUAUUUAUUGGAUAUUGUAUUGGGGUGAUAUAAGAAUAAAUUAACUUCUUAAUAAUUAAGACUUAAAUAUUAGGAAUAUUUGAUCCUGUAAUAUGGAAAUAAGAUAAAGAUACCUUAGGGAUAACAGCGUUAUUUUAUUAGAAAGUUCUUAUUAAUAAUAAAGUUUGCGACCUCGAUGUUGGAUUAAGAUUAAGUAUUGGUGAAGUAGCUAAUAAUAUAAGUCUGUUC
rnacentral:rRNA from 1 species